UGUCACGCGAAUAAGUUCAAUUCAGUUGCAAAGGAAAUAUCAUUACGGUCGGAUGUGUGUGUAUAAAAAGCUUAAAUUUUCACAAGUGUAUUUAAAUCAUAGUUAUAAGCGAACUCUUGUUUAGAUCUAAGUACAAAGUAAACUACAAUAAAUUCAAUA